AUUGGGACUAGUUUGUGAAUGGGGUGACUCGACCUGCACACACAUUAGACUAAAUCAAUAUAGAAAAUUAAACCAAACUUGAAUUACCUCUAAUAAUUUAUUAAAAUGAAAUGAGAGGGGAAACACAUUUUCUUCUGUUAAUAUUUAAAAUAUGUGCAUAACAAUAAUAAUAAGUGCUAUGUAAAAUAGAUAAAUUUGUACAUUAUUUAGCACUUAUCACACCCCCAAACCUACAUUUUGCUAGUCCUCGAGCAAAAUAAAAUUAGAAAAGAAGAAACUCUAACUCACUUUCGCAGGCAUCGCGAUAGCAUUUACCAUAUGCAACAAGGCUUUAAACCCCUAGGUUACCCUAGUGGACGAGUUAUAGUCUC
rnacentral:lncRNA from 1 species